rnacentral:sRNA from 1 species
AUUCUACCCAUGCGGGGAAGGAUGAGAAGCUUCGACUAAGGUUCGAUUCGAGCGCAGCGAGAAAGCGUUGCCGCAGGCAACGA